AAUUGUUGCUGACGAGGCCGCCUGGACAGCUUGCCUGGUCCCCUGUAUGUCCACUCUGGAUGUCCACAGUGACUCGGGCUCCUCAGCAGCCCACGUCCUCCUCACCAUCUCCCAGAACAGAGGCCCACGGAGUACCGCUCGCAGUUGAGGUAGGCCCGCACCGUGUAGAAGGCCUUGUGGAACUGCCUCUCGAUGUCCGUCAGCUCCUCAAACACCUUGUUGGCCGACCACAGCAGCACCUGGAGGGAGGGGCACACCUGUGGGCCUGUGGCCACUCCCACCCUCACGCCGGUCUGACCACAGCAGCAGGGGUUUAACUCAAGCCUGACACAGGUGCGCUCCCUGAUCUGACCACCU
rnacentral:lncRNA from 1 species